GAAAUGAUCAUCCUUGUUCUAUUUAUUCAUUGUAUCUUAAUUCAUAAACAUCGGCGAGCAGCGGGUCCACCCAAGACAGGUCAUCAAAAUUAAUCAUUUCAAUCUGAUUUCAGUUUUGUUUUUUGCGUUGGACGGAGAAAGUCCAGCUUUUACAGACUGAAGCAGCUCUGAUCUGAUGGUUUAACUUCUGGAUAUUAUUUGCUGUAUUUCAUGUUUGGGUUUGAUGCCGGAGUGUUUCCUCUGACGCUGACGGCUCAGCCGGGCGAUUCCUCCACAGUUUGUUUACAGUUCAGUUUGAUUUUAAAGAAUUUGCCUUUAAUCUCCAUACAGUAACCCCCAGCAGGAGGAAACUCCCCUGACACUUCACGCUGCACCAGCCUCCUCCAGAUCUCUCACAGCCACUCAUCUGUUUCCCACCCUACUUUCAUCUGAGUUUCACACCUGCUGAUCAUGCCGUAUUUUCAGGCGUGGCUUCAGAGGGUUGAGGUUCUGAAACGUUCAGCAGAGUUUAUCGUCUGUUUCUGCUCAGACUGAAGAGGAAACCUGAAGAAACGUUCAUGAGAGAUUAUUCAGCCAGUUAACAAUGAGAAAAGAUUUAUUAGUUUUCAUGUUUGAUCUCAUUAAAACAAACUUCAAAGCA